rnacentral:rRNA from 1 species
AGCCGCGGUAAUACAUAGGGGGCAAGCGUUAUCCGGAAUUAUUGGGCGUAAAGGGUGCGUAGGCGGCUAUUUAAGUUCAUGGUUUAAAUUCAAGGCUCAACCUUGAAUCGCUUUGAAAACUGGGUAGCUUGAGAGAGGUAGAGGCAAGUGGAAUUCCAUGUGUAGCGGUAAAAUGCGUAAAUAUAUGGAGGAACACCAGUGGCGAAGGCGGCUUGCUGGGCCUUAUCUGACGCUGAGGCACGAAAGCGUGGGGAGCAAACAGGAUUAGAUACCCUGGUAGUCCACGCCGUAAACGAUGAGUACUAAGUGUCGGCCAAGUCGGUGCUGCAGUUAACGCAUUAAGUACUCCGCCUGAGUAGUACGUGCGCAAGCAUAAAACUCAAAGGAAUUGGCGGGACCUCGCACAAGCGGUGGAUCAUGUUGUUUAAUUCGACGAUACGCGAAGAACCUUACCAGGCCUUGACAUACCGAGCAAUGUUAUGGAAACAUAACGGAGGUUAACUGGGAUACAGGUGGUGCAUGGCC